rnacentral:misc_RNA from 1 species
ACUGUAAUCAAAGACAAUGCUGGUCAUAUUGAUAUGUGGCCUACAUGUUUCUCCCCUUUACCUUCUAAAGAAUUUACUGAAAAAAAAAAAAAAACCAGCCUUACUUCAAAAUCUUGAAACACUUCUCAGGAAUGAGUUAAAUAAACUGAAUGGGCAUAAAAUUGAAGGUCCAUCAAAAAUCCGUUUACAGGUGUACAAAGAAGUUUUCGACUGUUUGAUCAAAGAGUUUUCUACUUAUAAACCUUUGCUAUCAGCAAUCAAACAAGAAUAUGAUGUUUACCUUGAUUUUCAAGAAUUAAGCCUCAGAGAAUAUGAUGCUUUAAAGAGGACAGUUGCCAUUAUUAACGAAGAAUGUGAGCAGAAAAUAAUUAAAUUGAGACAAGAAGAAAAGAAAGGCAAGAAAUGGAUUCCUUAAAUUUUCAAGUAAAAAAGUGUCAAGAGGAUAUUGCCAUUCAAUAUGAAAAGUUCAGGGAAGAAAGUGAUGCAAGAAAACUUUUAAUCCAAGAUCUUAACGACUUAAUGGAAAGAAAAGAUAGCAGAAGUUUUUCCUUUGAUGGAGUUAGUGCAGAUGAUGAGCAAGUGAAUGAUCCAGUAGUUUUAAGAAUCGCGUUAAGUCGUGUCAGAGAAGACUUUAACAAAAACACACAAAAGUUGGCAGAAGUACUUGCAAGUUAUGGUGAUGUAGUCCCUAGAAGAGAUUUUGAAAAGCUAGAAGUCCAAUAUAAAGAGUUAGAAGUCAGUUUUGACAUGUUAAAAAAGGAUUAUGCUUUAUUGUUAUCAGAAAAUAAGAUUCUUACAGCUGUGCACGAAAAAGAUACUGAUCUCCAUAUACAAUAUGAUACUUUACAUGAGAAAGCAACACCUAGACCAAGCUUGGACAAAUAUGUUUUAUAUCUUGAAGGUAAACUUGAUGAUUGGACUGAACAAACUAAAGGUAAAUCAACAAUAGAUAAAGUUGAUAUGCUUUUUUCAUCUGUUACUGGUCAAGAUUUAUCUGAUUCUGAAAAGAUUGAUCUUAAAAUGUUUCAGCCAAAGGGAGCCAGUGAUGAGAUUCCAAUAUAUUUACGCUCAACUCAACCUGUUCGCAAUCGUUUUUUGUGCAAACGUGAUUUAUGCAUUAUUAUUAAUGAAGUUUGGUCACAGAAGUGUCUGGAAGAAGGAUAUUUACCUUUGUUAAAGAGAUCUCAUAUGUCUCAAUUUCUUUAUGACUAUCUAAAAAAAAUGUUUCAACUUGAGCUGAUGGUUACUGAAUGGGGAUAUAAUAUACACGAGUCUUGUUUAAGGUUUUCUUAUGAUAAGAAAGUCAAGUUCUUUUUCGAUGUUCUCAAAUCAGAAGCAGACGAAGAUGUUUAUUAUGUUCAACUUAUGCAACAAGAAAAACUUCUUGACUCAUUUGUUUCGUUUGAUCCAACCAAAACUGAUUACAUUGAAAAGAAUGAUUUUUGUGUUUGCUUGCAAAAUUUCUUUCCAAAAUAUUCAACCGAAGACAUUGAUGCUUUGAUAAAUUGUGCUGAGAAAGACCUUAGAAUAUCAAAAAAUGACAAACUUUUAUACAAGUCUCUUUUUAAAAAGGAUGAAGAAGGAAACUAUGGUUUAUUUAUUAAAUGCGUUAUGAAGUUUUCACAAAGAAAUUCAAAACUAGUCAUUGAUAAAUUGAUGACACACCUUGAAAGCAAAACACACAUUUCUCCGAUGGACCUUCAAGAGGCUAUGCAAUCUAUUGAUUCAAAUAUAAGCGACGAAACUGCACAACACGUUAUUAGUUUUGUAUUUUGUACCAAUAUUUGCAAUCAACCCCUUCAAAAAUUGACAAAAAAUGAACUUUUUAUAAAGCUUGCGAGUAGUUCAAUUUAAUUGUUGGUUGCGUGCCGAGAACCCUUUAUCUACUGUCCAUCCGUAUGUAUCUGUUGUAAGUACUCGAA